rnacentral:rRNA from 1 species
GGUGCGUAACACGUAUGCAACCUACCUAUUAUUGGGGGAUAGCCUUUGGAAACGGAGAUUAAUACCGCAUAAGACAGUGAGAUGGCAUCAUCUAGCUGUUAAAGCUUUGGCGAUAAUAGAUGGGCAUGCGUCCAAUUAGUUAGUUGGUGAGGUAAUGGCUCACCAAGACGAUGAUUGGUAGGGGAUCUGAGAGGAUAAUCCCCCACACUGGCACUGAGAUACGGGCCAGACUCCUACGGGAGGCAGCAGUAGGGAAUAUUGGGCAAUGGACGGAAGUCUGACCCAGCCAUGCCGCGUGCAGGAAGAAGGCGUUAUGCGUUGUAAACUGCUUUUUUAUAGGAAGAAGAAGCCCUUGCGAGGGAAAGUGACGGUACUAUAAGAAUAAGCACCGGCUAACUCCGUGCCAGCAGCCGCGGUAAUACGGAGGGUGCGAGCGUUGUCCGGAUUUAUUGGGUUUAAAGGGUGCGUAGGCGGUUUAUUAAGUCAGUGGUGAAAGACGGUCGCUCAACGAUUGCAGUGCCAUUGAUACUGGUAGACUUGAGUUCGUAUGAGGUAGCUGGAAUGGAUAGUGUAGCGGUGAAAUGCAUAGAUAUUAUCCAGAACUCCAAUUGCGUAGGCAGGUUACUAAUACGAUACUGACGCUGAUGCACGAAAGUGUGGGGAUCAAACAGGAUUAGAUACCCUGGUAGUCCACACUGUAAACGAUGAUGACUAACUGUUUGCCCUUCGGGGUGAGUGGUACAGAGAAAUCGUUAAGUCAUCCACCUGGGGAGUACGCCGGCAACGGUGAAACUCAAAGGAAUUGACGGGGGUCCGCACAAGCGGUGGAGCAUGUGGUUUAAUUCGAUGAU